rnacentral:tRNA from 1 species
AACAUUUCUCGCAGUGGUUAAGGCGAUAGACUUGAAUUUCUUCCACCUGUGGAUGAACAUUUUCGAUAUCUAUUUCAUUCGUGAGCGCAGGUUCGAACCCUGCAGGUGUCG